CACACUCCAUGCCAUUCCCUUGGGCCCUAUUGCUCUCACCAGAGAGCAGAGCUCACUCCCCCUAAAAGGAGCUGCAGCCACAAUGCGGCCUCCUCUCAGCCUCCUCUGCUCUGGGCUCGACAAACGAAGGGAUCUCAGCUGCUCCCUCAUACAUCCCACCCUCUAGAUCCUUCAUCAUCUUUGUUGCUCUCCUUUGGACACUCUCUACUAAUUCUACGUCCUUCUUAUAUUGCCACAAACUGCACAGACCUGGAGUGGUCCCAGCUAACCAGCAAAUUUUCCCAAUUUUCACGAAGGGCAAGAAAGAAGAUCCUGCAGUUGGUCCCAUCAUCAGUGUUGAAGACAUAGGUGAAGAAGGCAUUAAACAUCUUUGUUUUGUCUGCAUCUCUAUUUAUGUGGUGAUCAUCCUCAUAAAGUAACCAAGCAUUGUUAUUUCUGCUGUUACCAUAUUUAGAAAAGCCCUUUUUGUUGUCAUCCACAGUACUGGCGUGUUUCAACUCUAAUUGUGCUUUGGCCACACAAAUUUUCUAUCUACAGUGGUGAAUAGCAUCUCUCUAAGUCUUCCCACAUCACCCAAACUCACUUCCAAUGCCCAUACAGAAUUGUAGGGGUUGGAAGGGACCUCUAGAACACAUUAUUUUUCCACCUAAGCUCUAAAAGAAGAUCAGUGAGGGCAGAUGCAUCAACACUUUCUGACUGUAUAAACUAGAAUGCUGAAUCAUCAGCAGGUCAGGUGCAGUAAGUUGGUGGCCAGGUACAACUUGCUCUCCUGAUGGGUACUUGACUGGAUGAGCUGAAAGACAGCAAACAGCAUAGUGGUGCUUUCAGCCUGUUGUUUAUUACAGCUUUUGCUGCAGGAAAAAUCUCAAGGCAGGAUUUAAAAGAAUACUUUAGGACAAGGGUGUUUCAGGAGUGCUCUUUAUAGCAUUUUUUACUCUGGUUCUGCUGCAGCCAGCAACAAUAAUCUUAUCUUAGCAAACCUAUCUAUUAAUGAAACAUCAUUCAGAUUUCCUUUUGUCCUCUAGCCAUAGCACACCUGCAAGCCUUCUGCCUUUCUCCAUGACAUCAAGUGGAAUGACUCAUCUUCUUAUACAAAUGUACAACUUUUAUACUGCUGAUCUGAAAACAGGCAUAUAAAAACAGCUUUAGUGUUAGCCACAUCUUCUCAGAAGCCAUGCUUCUGUUCUUUGCAAUAUCUGCUCUGCAUUUCCAAAUACUUCCACUGGCUGCAGCAGAGUUGUCUAUUUGGUAACGUUAAUGGUUCAAAUAUCAGUGUUAUUCACUCUUACAAGAAGUGCCUUCACUUUUCAAUGCAUGACCUUUUUUGAACUGUUAUUGUGUUCUCUUUGUAUUUCCAGUGUGCACCAAACAAUUACCUGGAUCCAGUGAAUGCUCUCCUAUGUAAACCGGAGCAUGAUCCAAGGCAACAAGACUGGACUGGGAGGUGGAAGAGGACCAGGAUGUAUUUGCAUGGGGAUCUGGGAAAGGAAAACAUCUAAGGGAAUGAUUCUGCAAACUCAAAUAACUCAUCAACAGCAUUCUUCACAGCACUAAAGGCUUACCACAUGUGGCUAAAACACUGCUGCCACAGCUUUCAAUUAGGAACAUCACGCCUUUCUGCACAACCAAAUUCACUUUCCAUUUACUAUACCCACUGUCACUUUUUUAGUGAUUUAGAAUAAAGCCAUAUAGUCCUGAUUCAUGGAGCUCAAGCUUCAGAAAGCAUCAUCCAUGCUAAAAGGCUGUGCCACAAACACUUCUGUGAACAACAUGCCCUUCAUAGUAAGUUUUUGGCCUAAUUCUAACACACACACACCAAAAAAAAAACCCCUUCCAAAACACAGAUUCUAUACUAAUAUUUAUUCAGUAACACUGAAAAAGAAGUAUUCAGAUAUUUGGAUGGUCUAAAUUCUACCUAAAACCCUGUGCCAAAUGUGUGUGCAUUAUCUAUCUUAAGCUAUCUAAAUGGUGCUUCUGAACUCCCACAGGUACACGCAGAGAUUUUCAGGCAACUCAGUCACUGGAGUAUGAGCUUGGUCUGCAAUAAGCAGAGACUGAACUACCACAGAAAAAUAAAUACUAGAGUCUGUACCAGUAAUGGUUUGCUUCACUUCCAAUUUUGGAAAUGAAUGAGGAAAAUAGACACCAAAAACCUCUUAAAUAUUUUUUAUGUUAUUGCUCUUUCCAGUUACUUCAAUACACGCCCUUUAAAAUAGCUUUUGACACCAGAUGCAUACCUGGCAAUAAAACAACACCAAAGCAGUAAGAGCAAAUAAAAAUGAAACAGAAGCAUACUGCAAUUUUUGUAUUUCAUUCAGCUGUACCGUAAGUGGUCUCACAGUCUACUUCUUCAGUUGCUCCAGUGUGGCCAUACAGCACCCAGCACGACAGCAGAAAGCUUUAGCAGGACGUGGGUAUGCAGGGGAGCCUGAAUUCAUGGGUCAACUGGUAUUUUUAAAGCCUGCAGAACUCACUCAUUAUUAAUCAUGCACAUUAAUCACAAACAUUAGUUGUUAAUGAUGACAACCAAUGUUCUAGUCAUGGUUAGGAGAAGGAAUCCAUCUCUUCAGCUGGCAUCCGUGCAGAAAAGCCAUACUUGCAUACACUGCUAUGCACAGCCAGAGAUAAUUUGCUUCUACAUUCAGGUAGUAUGUUGGUGGGGAAAAUCCUCUGCCUGUUAUAGAAAAGCCUGCAGGGAAGACUUAUGGGAAAGAAUGCUUCAAAGAGCUCCUGUGUUGUUCUUGAAUCCAGAAAUCAAACCUAUUCCCUCCCCAAAUUUCAAAAGAGCUGUAACUUUAGGUGGAAAGAACUAAGACUGGGGGGUUGGAGAUUCAUGAUCCUUGAGGUCCCUUCCAACCCUGGCCAUUCUGUGAUUCUGUGAUCUGUGUGAAGAACAAAUUGUUCAUCCCAAGUCUUUACAGAGACAUACAAGAAAUUGAUAAGCGUGAAGACUGAAAUUUAAUUACUGAGUGGUGAAACCUAGAGAAGUCUGGCUCUGUCCUAGUGACUCAUUUGCCAGCAGGGACCUAUACAUAUUAAAACUUCUGAAAUUAAAAGGACAAGUAUUUCCUGCAGGAAGUAACUGAUUCUAGCUAUGGCAAUUUCCAACAGACGGAGAAAUCAAAUAAAACAUUUGGCAUUUUCUUGCAAACAGCAUAUUCUCUUCACACUCAGCUAUCCUAUGCCCCCUAACUGAGCUUGACUUGCUGAGUGAUCCUCAGAGAGGAGAGAUGCAUAUGCUGAGAGAGGUUUCUCUUCACAAAGUUAAAGUCACAGAGCAGAACUGGCACAAAUCAGGGUAAGCAAAUCUAAUGGGACUUGACCUGCCUCUUCCCACUAGGCCAGCUAGCAUUCACCUCAGUGGUUUUCUUCUCUUGCUCCUGUUACAUGCAAGAGGUGGACUAAUGGGAAAAAGCCAUUCUAAAUGCUUUGCAGACCAAUGGGGACACGUCAGAAAGGAAGCAGCAGUUCACAAGCAGUGAAGCAGCAGUGGGAAUCCACAUAAAAAGCCCUGGCUCUACGUAAAGGUUUCCAGGACUACUGGGAUACUAUCAAGUCUCCUUUACUGCUAUCAAGUGCAAAACCACAUAGGCUGAAGUAAACAUAUUUUAUGGAGAUACUACCAGUUGCAGUCCUGUCUUAAUACUGUCUUAAUACUUUUCUUUGUGUCCCACAGACAACAGUUCUGUUGUUAAUAAAAAUUAUCCCCAGCACUCCCAAAAACAAAGCCCCUACACAGACUUGAAGCAUACCAGUCAAACAGCCUCAGCAGUGUCUGCUCUGGUCAGCAGUAUGCUCAGUGCUGGAUAAAAAAAAAAAGGUCAUGCCAUAUAUUGCUUCUACCGAGAAAACAAACAAAAGAAUCGAGAGAAUAACAUCAAAAAUAGAAAUGUCCCCCAGAGUAAAAAUCUGACUGCUCCGACCUAAUUUGAGAAGUCUGCUGAUAAUUUUUAGGUCCACCAGCUUUAGUAAGUACUGUGUCCGACUAUUACAUAUUCUGAGCCAUAGUCUAAGUCAACACAAUCAUCACACAGAUCAGAACUUGUUAGUCAUGCCAACAUUCCUUUGACUCAAAUGCCCAGGAAGUGCCCCACUUGGAUAAAAUAUGCCCGUUUCAGUUGAAGUUGCUCACAUCUGCAGAGUAAUGUCCCAGAAAAAAUGAAUCUUAGUGAGAACUGUGCUGCAGACAAGAAGCGUGCAUUUAGAUAUGAAUAGUCUAUUCUAGAUGAGUCAAGUUUGCACUUACAUUUUGCUCUUUGUACACAAGGAGUUUAUUCUUAAAGCAUGAGAGUACGCUUGGCUCAAGCCAUCUUAGCCUCAAAAGCCAUGCACUGAAGAAGAACUCCUCCUAAAUAAAUGCUUUCAGAAAAAGCUCUGUGAAGAUUUUAGGAUUUUUUCCUUCCUACAGAUAAUGUUUAACAAAAGAUAAUAACACUGCAGGAAGGAAAGCACAGAUGCAUGAAUGCAUACAUACACAGUCUAUCUCCUAAAUCAUGUGUGCCUUUAGGAAAAAAAAAACAA